AUACAGAGGGGGCAAGCGUUGUCCGGACUUACUGGGCGUAAAGGGUGCGCAGGCGGUCGUGUGCGUCGUCGCUGAAAUCACUCGGCUUAACCGAGUGGCGCGUGACGAUACGAUACGACUGGAGCCUCGGAGAGGGUGGUGGAACUCCUGGUGUAGUGGUGAAAUGCGUAGAGAUCAGGAAGAACCCCUGUGGCGUAAGCGACCACCUGGCCGAGUGCUGACGCUGAGGCACGAAAGCGUGGGGAGUGAACCGGAUUAGAUACCCGGGUAAUCCACGCCGUAAACGAUGUCGACUCGGGGUGUGCGGGCUUUACGGUCCGUGCGUCCCCAAGCUCACGCGGAAGUCGACCGCCUGGGGACUACGAGCGCAAGCUUAAA
rnacentral:rRNA from 1 species